UGACUUUUCUGCGCUUAGUUGUACCAACUAGUCUAGAUCUACACAAUCUGACUGACUGUAGAGCCGGAAUAAGUCGGGAAUGCAAAGCGAAAGAUAGCUAGCACAAUGAAGAAAGCUACAAGAACAGCACUAUUGGAUAAACUUCAUUUAUGGACAGUUCGUUCUUUAAUGGGAAUAACAGUUGCAGGAUGCACUCUACUUUCUUUCCAAAUAUAUACCUAUUUUUCAUAUGUGAGACCAGCCAAGCAGGAAGAGCGCAGAAAAGUUCGGGAGAAAGAAAUUGCUUUAGAGCAGCAAGAGAAGGAAGAGGAACUCUUGCGUCGACAGAAAGAGGCUGAAAAAGUUUUAAAAUAUUAAUGUUACUUUUUUCUAAAGCUUAGUGUUGUUUAGUGAUGAGAGAACAACAGAUGGUAUAUACAUUUGGUGAAAAACUUUUUCCAAUCACUUAACCUAGGAAUACCUUUAACUUAAACUGCUCUGUCAAGUAUAAGUAUACUUAGUAAAAUUGGUCUUCAAGUAUUAAGUUAAAUGUUACAUUUUUGUACCUACUAAUAUCCUGUCAAAUUUCACAGGAACGACCAUUCUAGAAAUUAUUGUGAAAAUCUUUUUUGUUUAAAAUAUUUAAUUUAACAGGGCUUGUAAAUGUAUACGUUUUUUUCCCCAUACUUUUUCAUGACUAAUUAUUCAUGUAUCAUAAAGUCAGUGUGAGACUUUUGGUGAAUUUUCUAUGUUACUGUACAAUAAAAUAUACAAAUAUCUAAUUUUUCUUUUUAGCAUUCUUGAGCUGGUAUUGUAAGAACCAAAACUGAUUCAAAAGCCCUCCUCUUGCAUCCCUGGGUGUAGUAAUAUAUGUAGUGCUCAGCCAUAGCACUUCAUGAGCAUAAAAAAAUAAUCCUCCAACAAGAGAGAACUAGUUCACACUUAAGCAGUUAAAUGUUAAUAUUGUUAAUUAGUAGUUACAAAUCAUUUGUAGAUACUUUAAGGCCUAUAAUAUUACUACCAGAUAUUUGUGAGGUCAAAACAAGUAGACUAUAUGAAUAUUUUUUUUUAACAAGUGAAGCUGGUAAAAAUGUAGUUAGUAUAUUUGUGUGAGGAAAAGGUAAAAGUUUCCAGGUCAAUAAAGAUGUUUUAAUCUUUUUUGUAAAAAAAAAAAGUAAAGUACCCUUUCAAACCUGACUGUCCAUGAGGCGUAUGAAGUACGGUUCACCUGUUUCAAUUACCUCUGCAUAUGAAAGGAUAGUGUGGUCAGCAGUAUGCCCAGCAGCCCUAACUUUCCCUAACAUGAAUCAGGUACCCAUCAGAGCUGGGAGACUCAAACCAGGGAUUCGAACUCAACGUUUUGGUUAGCGGUUGUAUGCUCUACCAUACGACCAUGUCGUCCCACUAUGUUUAUAUGGCAACGUAUUUUUACUUUCUAUCCUUGACAAAAAUUGCAACAAGAGCCUCAGUAUAAAAUUGUUUUAUUUUCCUAGUCAAUAAACGUUCACAAAAUUGAAUUAGCAGCUACAAAUUUAUUGAGAAUAACAACAUUCAACAACAGUUUAAAUUUAAAAUGAACUCAAAAUAUUAAAUUUUUGUACAUGUAUAUAUAUAUAUGUAUAUAUAUUCUUUGUCUUCUUGCGUUCAUAAUGAUCAAAUGCUUUUAAUGUUAUUACUUACAACCCAUAUUGUUAAAAAUGUACAACAUCAAAUUAAAAAUGACAACAAACAUUGCACUCAGUUUAAGGACCUGCGCUGGUAAUAACAAAAUUCCAGCCAAAAUUGCCUCUAACGCCUUUACAUUUUAAUUUACAAAAUGUCAAACCUUUUACUUUUCCUUAUAUAUAUAGUAGGGCUUACUCACAACUAACCCAGCUCACCUUCAACAACAGGAUGUAACCAAUAACAUGAUUUUUACAAGAACUAUCACAAUGACAACACUAACCAAAAUAAACAUGACCUAAAAUUUACUGUUGGUUAUAUUCAUAGUAGUAUCAAGUUUUAAAAACCUGCUUAUUGCAAUAUAAAAUGAUUUCAUGAAGAUUAUUAGUUACAUUACUUAAUAAUGUGAAUUUAAGUUUAUUCAUAGAUAAUUGAGAGCAGAAUAUAAAUAAAUAAAAU